GGGGCCGACUGGUUUUGACAGCACAGGGCAGGGUAAGUAAGCAUGUCGUGCGUUGUGUAAUUAGCACGUAAAUCUGAAUACACGAACUAUAAAUGGCGAAUAUAACUACGCCAUGGCUGCCUAAUCAGUGAUUAAGUAGUCAUUUUGGCCGCCGCAACAGUCCGCCUACCUCUGUUGCCGCCGCCUAAAUCAAAAAAUCGUAGGCUAAGCGCUAUAAAGCUGUGCAUUAGCGUCGAAAAACUAAGCAGUGUAGGAAGGAGAUAAGUUCGUCCGUCUCUGGUCAACUUCCGAAAUCUAAUGCCGGAAUAAACAUGUAGAAAGCUUAUUGGGCAUGUGUUUGGACGCGGGUUCGAAUCCCGCCGGUUCCACCA
rnacentral:tmRNA from 1 species